UUUUUGCUUUGAUUGCUAUCAGGGUUGAAUUAGUUGAAUUUGUGAUGUUUUAGCAUUUUGUGUGGGUUUUGGUGGAUUUGCCGAGUUGCUUACUUAAAAUCCAUCUUUUACAGCUUAGGAGUGCAUUUUUGUGCUCACAAAUUUCUCAUCUGGGUGUUACUAAAUUCUGGUAAAAGAUAGGAUUCGAUUGAAAUUAUCAUCCGGUUCAGCAUCAAAAUUUGGAAUUUAUACUUGCUUCAUCGGAUUUUGGAUCUGCCUUUCUUUUGUUUGGCAAAUUUGUGCUAUAAUGGACGAUGGAGAGUUAGAUUAUUCAAACCAAGAAUUGUUUUUGAGUCCGAAUAUGGAUGAUCUUCCAAGCAGUUGUUCUUAUGGUUUCUUGGAUGAGCUACUGAAGGAUACUCCUCAUGCUUGUACUCAUACACACACAUGCAAUCCUCCUGGUCCCGAUAAUCCUCACACACACGUUUGCUUUCAUGCACAUACAAAACUUUUGUCCUCUUCUGAGGACAAGGUUGACAGUGAAGACACUGCGGAGUCCAUAGAGAAAAAGUCAAAGAAACGGCCAUUGGGCAAUAGGGAGGCUGUCCGAAAGUAUAGGGAGAAGAAGAAGGCAAAGGCUGCCUCUUUGGAGGAUGAAGUUAAGCGUUUGCGAGCUUUGAACCAACAGUUACUAAAGAGGCUGCAAGGACAGGCUGCAUUGGAGGCAGAGGUUGCAAGGCUCAAGUGUUUACUUGUAGACAUCAGGGGGAGAAUUGAAGGGGAGAUUGGAUCUUUUCCAUAUCAGAAAUCAGCUAAUAAUGUGAAUUUGACCAAUUUUCCUGGUUCUCUUGUGAUGAAUCCAUGUAAUAUAAGGUGCGAUGAUCAGGUUUAUUGCCAGCAUCCUGGGUUGGAUGGCAAAGGUGGAGAAGGUGAAGCAUUGAAAGGACAAGGGUUUAACAGUUGUGAGUUUGAGAACCUUCAGUGUAUGGAGUAUCAGAAUUCAGGAAUGAGAGACUUACCUGGGUGUAGCAUUGGGAAUGAGGAAGUGAAUGGCAAUUCUUCCAGUGCAAACAAGAGGAAAGGAGGGGCUUGUGAAGCAACAGUAAGUUGAAGAACUGUCAAACUGAGGUCAUCAUUUUCAGUGAGGAUGCAUGUGCUUCCACCAAGUACUUCUGUUGAGUGGCAGCAUCAGCUUCAUCAAUAUGCCUUGUUGGGUUUGAAUUUGGUAAGGUGGGAGCGUGUUUGACGUUUCUUUAGUGUAUCAAACAAUUUUCUGUCUGUAAUCGAUGCGAGCAUCCUGUGAAUUGUGAAAUUUGCGUUCAGAACUUGCUGCUUGUCAUGACUGAGACAGGAACAGCAAGGGAUGGUGAGGUUCGUCUUUCCAACUUCAAUAUUGUUUCGUACCUUGGUACUUCUUUGCAACAAGGGAAACGAGGAUUCUGUGUUAAAUAGUUAUUCAAGUAGAAACAGUAUUUUUAGAGUGAAAGGGCUGUCAAUUUAAUGUUGAAAGCUGCUAAUCUUCUUAUUUAUGCACCCUUCCUAAGGAAAUGGAGGAGUAGAGCCUUAAGGUCCUCAAGGGGUAGUUGAAUUUACUGCCCCUUUCAACUUCUGUCUCUAGUUAACAUGGUCUUUCUUGCUUUUGCUCAUUUUAUUUAGAGACACGAAAAAAGUUGCGAAUUGACAGCAGUUUUGGACCAACUAGAUAAUGUUAAUUGGAGGAUAAUUGUUACCGUAUGGAUGUCAA